rnacentral:rRNA from 1 species
AGGACGAACGCUGGCGGCGUGCUUAACACAUGCAAGUCGAGCGGUAAGGCCCUUUCGGGGGUACACGAGCGGCGAACGGGUGAGUAACACGUGAGCAAUCUGCCCUUCACUUCGGGAUAAGCCUCGGAAACGGGGUCUAAUACCGGAUAUGACCGCGCUACGCAUGUGGUGUGGUGGAAAGUUCUGGCGGUGGGGGAUGAGCUCGCGGCCUAUCAGCUUGUUGGUGGGGUAAUGGCCUACCAAGGCUUCGACGGGUAGCCGGCCUGAGAGGGUGACCGGCCACACUGGGACUGAGACACGGCCCAGACUCCUACGGGAGGCAGCAGUGGGGAAUAUUGGACAAUGGGCGCAAGCCUGAUCCAGCCAUACCGCGUGGGUGAAGAAGGCCUUCGGGUUGUAAAGCCCUUUUGUUGGGAAAGAAAAGCAUUCGGUUAAUACCCGGUGUUCUGACGUACCCAAAGAAUAAGCACCGCUAACUUCGUGCCAGCAGCCGC